AACACUCAACUAUGCCCCUGAAGAGUAGUGAGCAGGAGAACAACCUCGUCACAAGCCCUUAAGAUACCUAGGAAGACAUCCGUGCAAACCGGAUUACUCUUGAACCCAAUAGCUAGCCCAACCACCUAACAUAAAUUGACCAACAUUAAUAACCCCUCACGCAGGAAAUAACAUAAAACAAACCAUUUUUCCCUCUUAGUACGGGAGACAGAAAAGAGAUCCCGGCGCAAUAAAGAAAGUACCGCAAGGGAAAGCUGAAAGAGAAAUGAAAAAACCCAGUUUGAAGUAUAACAAAGCAGAGUUUAACUCUCGUACCUUUUGCAUCAUGAUUUAGCUAGCAAAAUUUAAGCAAAAGAAACUUCAGUUUAAAACCCCGAAACCAAGUGAGCUACUCCAGGACAGCCUAUAAUAAGGGCGCACCCUUCUCUGUGGCAAAAGAGUGGGAAGAUCCUCGAGUAGCGGUGACAGACCUACCGAACCUGGUUAUAGCUGGUUGCUUGAAAAGUGGAUAGAAGUUCAGCCUUCUCGAUUCUCCCAUCAACCUGGUACAUACUCCUACCGCGCCACUUUAAGAAUCUAGAAGAGUUAGUCAAAGGGGGUACAGCCCCUUUGAAAAAGGACACAACCUUCCCAGGAGGAUACGGAUCAAAACAAAAAAGGACCAUGCUUCAGGUGGGCUUAAAAGCAGCCAUCCCCUCAGAAAGCGUUAAAGCUUAGACAGCUCCAACACCCUUUAAUUCUGACAACAAAAUCCUAACCCCUAAUUAUAUCAAGCCAUUCCAUGCCCCACAUGGAAGAGAUUCUGCUAAUAUGAGUAAUAAGAGGGCCCGACCCUCUCCCCGGCACAAGUGUACAUCGGAACGAACCCAUCGCCGAAAUUUAACGGCCCCAACAAAAGAGGGCACUGGACAGCAUAACCUUAACCCCAGGAAAGUCUCCAGUACAAAACCGUUAACCCCACACUGGUGCGCCUUAAGGGAAAGGCUAAAAGAGAAAGAAGGAACUCGGCAAACACCUGAAGCCUCGCCUGUUUACCAAAAACAUCGCCUCUUGCAAAACUAACGAAUAAGAGGUCACGCCUGCCCGGUGACUUUAAGUUUAACGGCCGCGGUAUUUUGACCGUGCAAAGGUAGCGCAAUCACUUGUCUUUUAAAUGGAGACCUGUAUGAAUGGCAUCACGAGGGCUUAACUGUCUCCUUUCUCUGGCCAAUGAAAUUGAUCUCCCCGUGCAGAAGCGGGGAUAAAAACAUAAGACGAGAAGACCCUAUGGAGCUUUAGACACCAAGACAGCUUACGUCAAAGGCCUCAUAUAAAAGAUUGAACUACAUAAAUCUCUGUCCUAAUGUCUUCGGUUGGGGCGACCCUGGGGAGAUAAAGAACCCCCAUGAGGACUGGAGAGAUAUCUCCAAAACUAAGAGCUCCCGCUCUAAGAAGCAGAACUUCUGACUGCAAGAUCCGGCAACGCCGAUCAACGGACCGAGUUACCCUAGGGAUAACAGCGCAAUCCUCUUCUAGAGCCCUUAUCGACAAGGGGGUUUACGACCUCGAUGUUGGAUCAGGACAUCCUAAUGGUGCAGCCGCUAUUAAGGGUUCGUUUGUUCAACGAUUAAAGUCCUACGUGAUCUGAGUUCAGACCGGAGUAAUCCAGGUCAGUUUCUAUCUAUGACAUGGCCUUUUCUAGUACGAAAGGACCGAAAAGGAAGGGCCAAUGCUUCCAGUAAGCCUCACCCCCACCUAGCGAAAGCAACUAAAAUAGGCAAAAGGGCAUAUCCCGCUAGCCUGAGAGAAUGGCAU
rnacentral:rRNA from 1 species